GUUCAGCAUCGCACUUGAGGAGCGUCACAGGCCUUCAUGUUGUUCGUAGAUUCAUUGCCCCUUUAUUUUCUUGAGCAACUGGCUCAAAGGAGAGAGUGAAACUGAGAGAUCGAACUGAGAGCAGUUAAAUCUCUUCAGCAUCUGCUCCCUUCAAUGGGAUCCUCUGGACAGCCCAUCAAUGAGACAGUAACACGGGAGAGUGGAAACCAGCUGCUGUGGAUGCACGCCUGGAAAGCAACAACAAAGAUUGGACUAUUUAACUUAUAAUAACUCAAGUGAAGAAUUGCAGAUUACCCCAGAGAAAUCUUACACAAAACAAGGUCCGUGACCCUGCAAACAUGAGGCAGCUCCCGCACACAUUGCCCCAGACACAUUGCACUCACUACCUUCUGCCUCAGCCACAAGAUGGAUCCAAAAGGUAUCACCAGCAUUUUAGGAUGUGGAGAGUAAAUCUGAGCUCUACCUUCCACACAAGUCACCCUGAAGAUUUUUGAAUCCCUGGCCAUAUUUGUGGAAUACAGACUAAGAGAGAUAUUCAGUAAAACAAUAAUCACAAAACUAGACUUUUGACUAUGGAAAACCAUUCCACCUUAUCACUUGUCCCACGUAAAUUUCUAUAGAACGAACUAAUAUUAACAUAAUUAAUAUUACAUGGAAGGAGAUUAACGAUUUUAGCAGACAAAACUUAAAUGAGAGCAACUAUGGUGACAUCCUUUGAGAAACUGAACUACUCACCUUGAUUUGCUAUGACUUCACUCAUUCCGCUGCCAGUUACUGUCUGCAGAAAAGCAAAGUAACUCCUCCGUAACAUUUGUUUUUCUAAAGCAGCAGAC